UUAUUUAUUAAUUAUUUUCUUUUUUGUUAUCCAGUCUUGCGCACUCAGAGUUAUCGAGCGUGUUUUAUGACAAGGUUCUCGUUCUAUCUGCGGGGUUCAACAACAUUGUAAUCUUAAUAGUAGGCAUCAUUGUUUUCAUUUUCGCUACCGUUGGUGUGUUGCUGUUGAUGGAGACUUUAAGUGCUUUCCUUCACGCACUGCGUCUUCAUUGGGUCGAGUUCCAAAACAAGUUCUACGAGGGAGACGGCUACAAAUUCCUUCCUUUCUCAUUUGCAUUGCUAGAUGAAGAUGAUGAAUAAUAAUAUUCAGUUUCAAUAUGAACCCCAUGAGAGAAAAGCUCUGUUUUGGUUUGGUUUGUGCACAGAAGUGGUUUGUAUUGAUUUUUUAAUUUAAAUAUGGUAAGGUAAUUGCCACUGCCAUUGCUCUUGUUGAGGAGUGCCCAAGCCUGAGGUUUUGGGCAUUAGCACUAGUUCUUUUUUAAUGGAAAAUAAACUGGGUUCUUAGACAGGCCCCAGUGUCUUUAUAAGUGGUAUCACCGAUGAGCUAGUGUAACAGACAAGGUUAUUGAGUCAGUCUCCCUUAUAUUUAUAGGCAUUUAUGCCUGCGAACAUUUAUGAAAUCAAAUGAAGAGGAUCGAACAAUUUCUUUGUACU